CCUUGAUCUUGUUUUAUACUUGCUAUCUUCUUUUCAGCCAUUUCUUGAGGCAAAGGCCUUAAGAAAACAGAAUUCUACUGAGCUCCAAAUGCCAGCAAACAGAAUUCCACUUUACUGAAAGGAGUAGAACAAAACAGUCAUCUAUGAGUAGACAUGAGUUACAGUAAAAAGACUCAAUAAGGCUCUGAAUGAAAUCCUAAAGAGAUUCAAUACUGCAGAGCAUACACUUUGUGAUGGCUACAUGUGGACUUCAGAAGCCAUUCCCCCAUAUGUUCCAGCAGGCUAAAAAGCUAUAACCACACCAAGACACCAGUCUGUGCCUUCAUCAUCUUUGAAUUUUGCUUUAAUUCUAGGAUAGGAAUUUAAAUGUUUAUUGAACUGAAGUUGCUACAACCACAAUCUCCAGACUAUGUGGUCAUGUCACAAGAACACAGGAACCAACAUGAAGAAGCACCCAGUGUCCAAGAAUGGAAAAAACUGAACAUCUACAAAAAGAACUGCAAUGGACUGAAACACAAAUAUGAUCAAAGGAAUGAGUUCAUAAUUAUACUAACACAGACAAACACACACAUUCACUGUUCGAUUAUGGAAGAUGCUAUUUUGAAAACAGGGAAAGAAACAAACAUGUAUCUUGCCUUUCCUGUAUGAACUGUACCUCAGAUAAUCAAACAACUGAUUUAUAAGUUUCUCUUUAUGGAAGAAUUCCAGCUAAUAAAGAAUGAAUAACAAUAUUAGAAUAACACAGUUUUGCAAAUCCCUAAGGAAAUCCUGGAUCUAGGCCAGAGUUUCUGAACCAGAACUUAUGAACAUUUGGGGCCUGAUAAUCCUUAUUUCAGGGGCUAUCCUGUGCAUUACAGAAUGGUUACCAGCAUUUCUGGCCUCUGCUUCCCAGGUACCAGUAGCAGACCCUCUCCAAGUUAUGACAACUUGUCUCCAGAAAUUGCCAAACAGACCCUAGCCUGAGAACCACUGAUGCAGGCAAUGAUCCAUGACCAUUAACAUCACUAAAAGAAACAGAAAUACACAAAAUCUCCUGAUCAAAAUAUACACCAUCAAGUUUAAUAAUCUGAAUCAAACCAAGCGUCUAAACAUAACUACUAGUUUUUGGUAAUACAUAGAACAAAUAAACAUGACUGAUUUGGACACCAUGGGGUUAAAAUAUGCAAAAUCAAAGUGUUUGAGGAACAGGACAAACGGUCCAGUAUAAGUCUUCAGAGGAGGAACUGAGAAAGGAUGUCUACAGAUUGGAAAGAGACCCAAGAGACACAGUAACCAAACUGUACAGACCUUGACUGAAUCCUUAUUGAAAUAAACCAACAGAAAAAAUAAAAA